UACGUAGGGUGCAGGCGUUAAUCGGAAUUACUGGGCGUAAAGCGUGCGCAGGCGGUUUGCUAAGUCAGGGGUGAAAUCCCCGGGCUUAACCUGGGAACUGCGCUUGUAACUGGCAAGCUAGAGUGUGGCAGAGGGGGGUGGAAUUCCACGUGUAGCAGUGAAAUGCGUAGAGAUGUGGAGGAACACCGAUGGCGAAGGCAGCCCCCUGGGCUAACACUGACGCUCAUGCACGAAAGCGUGGGGAGCAAACAGG
rnacentral:rRNA from 1 species